AAAUGCAGAGAAAUUUCAGAAGCGAGAGAGUCACGGUCAUGAGCAUCGGAAGCAAAAGAGCACCGAUCAACGCUGGCAGAAGCAGAAGAGAACAGACUAAAGUUGGACUCGAGAGUUAAAAUCACAGAGUCAGGGCUAGCAUCGCGAGCUCUAAAACCCGAUCUCGACGAGUUCUGAUCCUGAAGCCCAAGCUCCGGCAUUUUCAAUUUUUCACUUUCUAGUCUAAGAAGAAGCCAAAGAAAGCAGAGAGUGAGUGAGAUUUCAUCAUUU
rnacentral:misc_RNA from 1 species